AAGAGUGGUUCCCAGGAGAAAGAGAGAAUUCAAGAAAUGGAAGUCUCAGCUCUGUGUGAAGGCAUUGCUUCCAUGAAGCAAGAAUAGGUUAAUCUGAAAAAGGAGCAGAGAGCAGACUGCCACACGCAGCACCUCAUUUGGACAUGUCUGGAGCUUUGGAAGUUUGGCUACCCUAUGCUCUACAAAUGGACCUUGAGAACUUAUUUGGACAUUCUAGCAAGAGAGAGCUCAGCUACUCAUAUACCCUACACUGAAGAAUGGUCCUCCUCUAUUGGGGAAAGUUGUCCUCUGAUGGAGUAUGCAGCUUCAGGAGGGACACCCAUGGAGUGUUGAGGGAGGAGGGGGACACCUCCCUCGCCAACCAGAUCAGCCAAGGCAACCCUGACAAUCAAUGGGGUGACAGAUGUCUCAGCCAGAUUGUCCUCACAUCCUCUUUUUAUUCUUAAAUUGCCUCUAACUGCAAUGCUUUUGAUCCUGGAAAUGGAUUAUGUACUAUGAAAGCCAUGAGAAGAUGCUGAAACAGAGAGGAAUUUGGUUUGCUGUUUGCUUAUUUUUUCCCCCAACAAAAAGCCCAGCUUUCCAGAAGGUCUUUAGAAAAUCAGUUUUUGUUUUAUUCCCCAUGACAAUCUUCUAAAAAG
ensembl:lncRNA